AUAUGUCGGAGUUAGUUAUGAAUAAAGAAGAGAAAUUGAUCAAAUCGGAAAAUACAAUGAAGUUGCAACACUUCCAUCAUGAAGUUGCAACGCUCCGACGUCAGGUGGCGUACGAGCAGAGCGGGGUGAAGUCGGGAGAGUCACUACAGAGUCGUCGUGUCGAGCGGACGUGUACUGCCGUUCUAGUCGGGCAGUCUACCGCGAACCAUCGUCAUGAGCGGACGUGUCGAAUAAUUACGAGGAGUGCUAUAGUCGCUCACCUAUAACUUGUAGGGACGUCAAGAAAGUGUGAUCGGAAAAGAGUACCUAGCAAGUACGUUCACAUGUCCCGAUGAUUCGGUCCGAAUAUAGGAACCAUGGGUGGUGGAGGGCAAGUAGAGGGCGAGCAGCCCCUUCGCGCUAACGUCCUUAUGCGCGCUAGAUAACGAGAGACUGUGUAACCGUUACGAAUACCGUGACGUUGCCGUGAGUGUGUACCUUAUGCUGUGGCUUUAUUUAAUCGUGAUACAAAAACUAUGUGGAAGUAAAUAAAAUGAUUGUGAUACUGAUGACGGCCAUUAUUGUCUUCUAACGCCCACCCUCCAUUCUGAUGAUGAUGUUACGACCGACCCCCCCCAAUGCUACGACAUCAGAAGCGGGAUUAGUGAACUUGGAUGAAGACAAUGUGAUGCGACGUUCACAAUAAGACAAUGCAAGUUUUGAUUAUCACAAUCAGAAGAAGAUUAUGAUGAGAAGAAGAUUAUGAUGAUUAUCACAUUCGUGUGACCACGUGAUGAAGAUGUCGUCUACAGCCAUGCCUGAAUUUGAAAAUGGACCUGAAUUUGAAAUGAACCUUGUUAAUGAUCGGCAUCACUACAUGCCGUGAGAUAUGAUGGCGUGAACAUCACAAUAUUUCCGUAAUGUGUGCAGUCGUGUUUGGAAAUUAUGGUACCUCAACUUGGAAACUGUUAUUACGGUGAGUCGUUUUCAUACUGGAACCUUAUUGUUAUUGAUUUCAUUGCUAUGUGAAUGUUCGUUUCUAAUAAUGAGGAAAUUGAUUUAAAAUUAACUUGGAAAUUAUUAUUUCCCUUUGUUUAAAAAGAAAAUUGACGAGACAUAUUGUGUCAAUCCGUGUCAAUCAUACCGCGUUUUCCAAUCUGUUUUCAUCAUUGUCAAAUCUUUGUAUUUCGGUCUAAAAACAUUUCGAAUUGGUGUAGACACGCUUAACCUGCGUGGUUAAAGUUGUAUUUUCUCACUCCAAGCGGGUGGAGGUUAGUCAUGAUAUGAUAAUUAAGUCUUGUUAAAUAACGUGUUUUGUAAUCUACCGUCAUCCAUCAAAUGUUUCAAUAUUCAACAUUCUUUAUUUGUAAUCUUUUUAAACCGAUUGAAAGAAAGUCGUGUGAAUACGAUAAUACAGUGAAUUCUUUUGUUUCAUGUCAUAACUUGGUUCGGCAAUUGGUGGAUUGCUAGCGGCGAUGUAAGUGGUGCGGCCUGAGCUGUAGCCGUGCAGUGACGUUAUCAUGGCAGCACGUUGUAUACCAGCCGGACUUGUUGCGCUGGUGAAGACCUAAACCAUGUCACAAGACCAGUGGUUGAUCUUUUAUUGGAAAUUCUUAUACGUCCCGGUGAGUCGUAUCUGUUUCACCUGAUUUGAAAGAUGGAAAGUUUUAAUAGGAUACAAACGAAUAUAGUGCAGAAAGUUGUCUUUUGUUAAAUUUAGUUAAAUUGGAAAUCGUAAUGAAGUGAAGUAAACAUUGCGAAGUAAAAUGAUUUGGAUUAUGAUUAAAUGAAAUAGGCUAGGAAAAUGCCCGAAACAGAGUAAAUCAUUAGUGAGAAAAUUGGAGCAAAACAUUCUAAAUGAUGAUCAUACCGAAUUGGUAAUUGUGUAAGUGCGGUAAUAUUUCCUCAAGGUGUUGGUCGUUACAUUGUGACUUUAUGACUUGUGUGUGUGAGAGCAGGGUGCUCUGUCGUUUUGUGGUCGUGGACCAUGGUGGCCAUCCCGGGAGGGGAUGUUGUGACUCAUGACUGUUUUGUAGCGUAACCGAAGUUUGGGGAGGAAUAUUACAGCCUGUUGUGCUUUGCAGUAGAUGUGUAAUGUUGGUUGAUUUAAUUGAGCAAUGAAAGCUAUGAUUGACCUGUUUCGGAGCAACUCUGAUAGGAAGCUGCGCACUUGUAGUGUUCGGGGCUGCAGCCACUUUUGUGCUGCUCGUCUUAGAAACUACAGGUAUGCGGUCGAGGCCUGGAUGUCAUGUUGACUUUGUAUUUGGUCAUGACAUUGUACCUGAAUCUAAGUCAAGUUGACUUCCGGUAGAAUUAGUCAAACUACACGAAUUAGAAAUAAGUGAGGUAGAAGAAAUUUGUAACCCAUGGACCACUAUUCUACCAACUAAAAUGUAAAGUUUAUGUGCUAGCUGUGUUGAGAUAUCGUCACUUGGUGCAAGUGGCAUGAGUUGCUGUCGCUCGAUUUAGGUGGCAGCAACGACUGUGUUGAGAUAUCGUCACUUGGUGUAAGUGGCAUGAGUUGCUACCGCUCGAUUUAGGUGGUAGUGACGCCUGGUUGUGAGAUAUCGUCACUCAGUAGAGUGGCAUGAGUUACUAUCGCUCGUUUAGGUGAUAGUAACGGCAGACGUGUAAAGAGUAAUUGGAUUUUCAAGUUUGGUUGUUUAUAGUGUGUGAAUACUGGUCAAUGGUCCGUGUACCGUGUCGGAGUAGUUGAUUUAUCAUGAUGUAAUGUGAACUCGUGUAGAAUCACAAGUAGAGCUCGUGUAGAGCCACAAGUAGAGCUCGUGUAGAGUCGCAAGUAGAGCUCAUGUAGAGCUCAUACAGAGUCCUAUAUAGAGUCUUAUGUUAGGUCAGGAAUGACCGAGCGAACUUGGAUACUGUGCUGUGGUAUAUUGUUUCAGAUUAACACACGAGGACGUGUGUCACGCAGGAUGGCCGUGUCGGAGUUAGUUAUGAAUAAAGAAGAGAAAUUGAUCAAAUCGGAAAAUACAAUGAAGUUGCAACACUUCCAUCAUGAAGUUGCAACGCUCCGACGUCAGGUGGCGUACGAGCAGAGCGGGGUGAAGUCGGGAGAGUCACUACAGAGUCGUCGUGUCGAGCGGACGUGUACUGCCGUUCUAGUCGGGCAGUCUACCGCGAACCAUCGUCAUGAGCGGACGUGUCGAAUAAUUACGAGGAGUGCUAUAGUCGCUCACCUAUAACUUGUAGGGACGUCAAGAAAGUGUGAUCGGAAAAGAGUACCUAGCAAGUACGUUCACAUGUCCCGAUGAUUCGGUCCGAAUAUAGGAACCAUGGGUGGUGGAGGGCAAGUAGAGGGCGAGCAGCCCCUUCGCGCUAACGUCCUUAUGCGCGCUAGAUAACGAGAGACUGUGUAACCGUUACGAAUACCGUGACGUUGCCGUGAGUGUGUACCUUAUGCUGUGGCUUUAUUUAAUCGUGAUACAAAAACUAUGUGGAAGUAAAUAAAAUGAUUGUGAUACUGAUGACGGCCAUUAUUGUCUUCUAACGCCCACCCUCCAUUCUGAUGAUGAUGUUACGACCGACCC